AGAGUCAGGAGGGUCUUGGAAGAAGUUCAGAAAAGAUCCAAAUAGGCAGUCUGAACAGUCUUACUUGUUUGCAGGUGGAGUAAUGCACGAAUGGAUAAAAAAGAGUGAGCUGUUGAGGAGCAAAUGGAGAUCCGUGUCCAGGGGAGUGAUGCUAUUGCGAGUGUGAAAGGUUGUCCAGGAAGUAACUAAGAAGACAUGAACAGAGAGGUGGUGAUCCUCAGAGGACCGAUGAAGUAGAGCAGCCAGCACCCCAAGUAGAGCAGGCACUGUGGAAAAAUAGUUGUGACUCAACUAGACCAUUACAAAGUAUGGCCUGGAGGAUUUUCAUCUCAAGGUGCAAGAACAUUCUUAAUGACUGUACACGGCAGCUGCUGAUGGACGAUGUUGGGCCAGAUGUGCUACAGUUAGCGUUAAGGAGGUUGGAGACAAUGCAGAGAAGCCUUCAGUGGGCAAGAGGAAGACUGAUCAAUGUAACUGCAGCAGAUCAACUUCUGCGUGACUUGGCUGAAUUGAUUCAGGAUGUCGAACUGUCUACUCAGCAUGGGCAACAAGGCUGUUUUGGAUACCAGGCACCAGUGGUUUUCAGCAGAGGUAGAGGUAGAUCCCUUUACCUUAUCACUCGGGAACAGCUUUCAUUCCUGAAGUCAUGUGGAUUCACUGCACCUCAGAUGGCUGAUAUUUUGAGUGUUUCACUUCGUACAAUUUGAAGACGUCUGCGACAGUAUCAUUUCACCCGUGCAUCAAUGUAUGCGGAACUGACUGACAGUGCCUUGGAUGAACAUGUGCAGGACAUUGUCGCUGGCAAUGAACAAACUGGUCCUGAGGCUGUCAGAGCCUCCCUGCGAGUACGUGGACUACGUGUACAGCGAAGGAGGGUUUGAGCAAGCAUGUUACGGAUGAAUCCUGGAGCAGCUGCCCUUAGAGCAGUUUUGCGGAGACCAGAACGAAGAACAUAUCAGGUUGCAGGUCCAAACUCAUUGUGGCACAUUGCUGGAAAUCACAAGCUGAUAAGGUGGAGGAUAGUCAUUGAUGGGGCUAUUGAUGGAUACAGUCGUCUUGUGGUCUUCCUUCAUGCCUCAAACAACAACCGUAGCAGUACCGUUUUAUCAAGUUUCAUCAGAGCCGUGUAUCCUAUGGUGUACCCUCGAGGGUCCGGACAGACAGAGGAGGGGAAAACAACGCUGUCUGCCUGAUGAUGAACAUUUUCAGAGGCUUUGAUCGUGGAAGUGCCCUAAGAGGAAGGAGUACCCAUAAUCAGAGAACUGAGAGGCUCUGAGGUGAUCUGUGGCGAGGAAUGACCAAUGUCUACUGUGACUUAUUUCACCACCUGGAGGAGGAAGGCAUCAUUGACAUUGACAAUGAAAUGCACCUUUGGGCUCUCCAUUACAUCUAUCUCCCAAGGAUCAACAGAGAUUUGAAAGACUUCACUCAACAGUGGAACAAUCAUGGCUUGCGGACAGAGAGACACUUGAGCCCAUUACAGAUUUUUGUCCGAGGCAGCCUCCUGGUAGAACUAUGUAAUCCACUAAGUGGCACCAGAGGGAGUCAUGGUAUUGAACUCAUCACUGGCUUAAUAUACUUUCUGGACUCCACAUA